rnacentral:rRNA from 1 species
AACGAACGCUGGCGGCAGGCUUAACACAUGCAAGUCGAGCGCCUCGCCAGAGGAGCGGCAGACGGGUGAGUAACGCGUGGGAACGUACCCUUAUCUUCGGAAUAGCCCUGGGAAACUGGAAGUAAUACCGAAUGUGCCCUUAGGGGGAAAGAUUUAUCGGAUAAGGAUCGGCCCGCGUUGGAUUAGCUAGUUGGUGGGGUAAAGGCCUACCAAGGCGACGAUCCAUAGCUGGUCUGAGAGGAUGAUCAGCCACAUUGGGACUGAGACACGGCCCAAACUCCUACGGGAGGCAGCAGUGGGGAAUAUUGGACAAUGGGCGCAAGCCUGAUCCAGCCAUGCCGCGUGAGUGAUGAAGGCCUUAGGGUUGUAAAGCUCUUUCACCGGAGAAGAUAAUGACGGUAUCCGGAGAAGAAGCCCCGGCUAACUUCGUG